AUUGCUUCUCGGCCUUUUGGCUAAGAUCAAGUGCAGUAUCUGUUCUUAUCAGUUUAAAUGUGUAGCUGAACUCUAUUUGCUAGGAUUUUAUUGAUUUUGCAUUUUGUAGUAUUCUUUUUUAGCUGAAUCCAUUCCUGGUUUUGGCAGAACACUUAUGUACUAUUGGUGGGAUUGCAAAGUAAAAC